rnacentral:ncRNA from 2 species
CCCGGUGAGAACCCGGGGCGGUCGCGCCACUGUGAGCGGUUUCGAGAGGAGCCGCGAGCCAGA